UACAGAGGGUGCGAGCGUUGUCCGGAAUCACUGGGCGUAAAGGGCGCGUAGGCGGCUCGGUAAGGUUGCGGUGAAAGCCCGGGGCUCAACCCCGGGUCGGCCGUGGCAACUGCUGGGCUGGAGCACUGUAGAGGCAGGUGGAAUUCCGGGUGUAGCGGUGGAAUGCGUAGAGAUCCGGAAGAACACCGGUGGCGAAGGCGGCCUGCUGGGCAGUAGCUGACGCUGAUGCGCGACAGCGUGGGGAGCAAACAGG
rnacentral:rRNA from 1 species